UGGGGAAUAUUGGACAAUGGGCGAAAGCCUGAUCCAGCCAUGCCGCGUGUGUGAAGAAGGUCUUCGGAUUGUAAAGCACUUUAAGUUGGGAGGAAGGGCAUUAACCUAAUACGUUAGUGUUUUGACGUUACCGACAGAAUAAGCACCGGCUAACUCUGUGCCAGCAGCCGCGGUAAUACAGAGGGUGCAAGCGUUAAUCGGAAUUACUGGGCGUAAAGCGCGCGUAGUUGGUUUGUUAAGUUGGAUGUGAAAUCCCCGGGCUCAUCCUGGGAACUGCAUUCAAAACUGACUGACUAGAGUAUGGUAGAGGGUGGUGGAAUUUCCUGUGUAGCGGUGAAAUGCGUAGAUAUAGGAAGGAACACCAGUGGCGAAGGCGACCACCUAGACUAAUACUGACACUGAGGUGCGAAAGCGUGGGGAGCAAACA
rnacentral:rRNA from 1 species